UACAGAGGUGGCUAGCGUUGUUCGGAUUCACUGGGCGUAAAGCGUACGUAGGCGGUCAGGUAUGUCGGAUGUGAAAUCCCGGGGCCCAACCCCGGAACUGCGUCCGAAACUGCCUGACUUGAGUGCAGGAGGGGAGAGGAGAAUUCAUGGAGUAGCGGUGAAAUGCGUUGAUAUCAUGAAGAAUACCGGUGGCGAAGGCGCCUCUCUGGAAUGUAACUGACGCUGAGGUACGAAAGCAUGGGGAGCAAACAGG
rnacentral:rRNA from 1 species